GGCAAUUCUCUCGGUUCCACUUGUACAGUGUGGAAGCUUUGUUCUUUCCCUCUUUGCAAUACAUCUUGCUGCUCCUCUCUUUGGGUCCACGCUGCUUUUAUGAGCUGUAACACUCACUGUGAAGGUCUGCAGUUUCACUCCUGAAGCCAGCGAGACUAGGAAUCCACUGGCAGGAAUGAACAACUCGUGAGGCGCCACCUUUAUGAACUGUUCAACACUCACCACAAAGGUCUGCAGCUGCAGUCCUGAAGCCAGCGAGACCACGAACCCACCAGGAGGAAAAAACACCUCCGGAUGCGCCGCCUUUAAGAGCUGUUACACUGACUGCGGAGGUCUGCGGCUUCACUCCUGAAGUGAGCGAGACCACAAACCCACCAGAAGGAAGAAACUCCGGACACGUCCUAACAUCAGAAGGAACAAACUCUGGGCACACUAUCUUUAAGAACUGUAACACUCACCACGAAGGUCCGUGGCUUCAUUCUUGAAGUCAGUGAGACCAAGAACCCACUAAUUGCGGACAUAGUACGGUUUGAAAGUGAAUGAGUGUGUGUGUGUGUGUGUGUGUGUGUGUGUAUAGUAUUUGGUUAAAUAUCUUUAUGUAAAGAAUGUGGCAUUUGGUGUGAACUUUUAAAGAGCUCUUGAGAUCACACUAUAUACAAAAAGAAAUUAGACUAAUGAUUUGAGUUAGACUAUAUCCUUAAUUCAAACAAAUUUAGAAAAAAUUGAAACCUUUUUAUACAUAGACAUAACCUAUCUAUUUUGACUAUUGGUCAAUUAAGAUUUUUAAAUUAUCUUUUUAAAUCCAAUAUAUGGUGUUUAUUUUCUUUUAACUUAACAUACAUCCGGAUUUAUUGUAUUGCCUUUUUAUGCUAACAUGUUGCAGAAAUGCAAACAUUUCUGUUAUGGUGAGUUCGUUUAUACGCUUUUGUGUUUAUCUCAAGGAAGUCGGAAAUGUCUUAAUCUUUUAGACAGUGAAGUUUAUGUCCUGUCACAAAGACACAAAUGCAAACUAAAUGUUAAGUGUUUUAUUUAAAUUUUGUCAAAUUGCCGUAAUAAUUCAAAGAACUUAACAAAAUUUCAUGGGAAUUUUCAAAAUUUCUCUGGGGAAGG
rnacentral:lncRNA from 10 species